rnacentral:rRNA from 1 species
UACGAAGGGGCUAGCGUUGCUCGGAAUUACUGGGCGUAAAGCGCACGUAGGCGGCUUUCUAAGUCGGGGUGAAAUCCUGGAGCUCAACUCCAGACUGCCUUCGAUACUGGAGAGCUCGAGUCCGGGAGAGGUGAGUGGAACUGCGAGUGUAGAGGUGAAAUUCGGUAGAUAUUCGCAAGAACACCAGUGGCGAAGGCGGACUCGCUGGCCCGGUACUCGACGCUGAGGUGCGAAA